rnacentral:misc_RNA from 1 species
ACCUGCUUGGGGUGAAGGGAGCAAGCAAAGAGACGCCAGGAGCUAACUCCAGAGUUCUAGCCUCAAUAGUUGCUGGUUCUGUUCUUGCUGCUGAGCUAUCUCUCAUGUCUGCAAUUGCUGCUGGACAACUAGUGAACAGCCACAUGAAAUACAACAGAGCCAACAAAGAAGCUGCUGUUUCCAAGCCUUCUUCCUAAGAAAAUCAAAAUUUCUAAUUAUUGAACUUCUGUAUACUCUUUUUCUUGUCAUUUUGAUUUUUU